AUGCUUACCUCACCUCCCUUGACCAGCAUGGAUUCUCUCCCCAGACUCCGUGGCCAGAGCAGCACGUCCCUGUCCUCUUCUCAGUCUUCUGUGGCCUCCUGGUAGCGCUGUCCUACCACCUGAGCCGGCAGAGCAGCGACCCCACCGUGCUCUGGUCUCUGAUCCGGAGCAAACUCUUCCCUGAGCUGGAGGAGCGCAGCUUGGAGACAGCCCGGGCUGAGCCCCCGGACCCCUUGCCGGACAAGAUGCGCCAGUCGGUGCGUGAGGUCUUGCACUCCGACCUGGUGAUGUGUGUGGUGAUCGCCGUGCUCACCUUCGCCAUCAGCGCCAGCACCGUCUUUAUUGCCCUGAAGUCGGUGCUGGGUUUCGUGUUGUACGCACUGGCUGGGGCCGUGGGCUUCUUCACACAUUACCUGCUGCCACAACUCCGCAAACAGCUGCCCUGGUUCUGCCUGUCACAGCCCGUGCUGAAGCCGCUGGAGUACAGCCAGUAUGAAGUGCGCGGUGAGUGCUCGCCCCUGAUGGCCAGGCCUGGGCAGUGUUUCGGGCUGCAGCUUGGCUGGUGGGAGCUGUGGUCCUCUCGGCUCAGGAGUGCCAGCAGGGGGCACUCACUGCCCACACUACCCUUUCUGCACCCUCCCUGCCCUGUGUCCUUGUUGCGCGGCUGCGCUCUCCACCUACUCUUCUCCUCGUGCCUUGCUGUGCCCUUCCCUUGCCUGCGUUGCCCUGGUCCUGCCCUCCUUGCUGUCUGUGAUAAGACGGAAGAAUUAGAACCCCAGGGCCCUGAAGGGAUCUCUUGUCCAGAAUUAAACACUGAUCACCAGUGGACCGGAGCUGCCAGGAGCACAUUUUCACUGGGCUGCGUAACGGUUUUUAAAAAAUCCUAGAUCCUGUAUUUUAGCAUUUCGAUUUGAGAUACGAAGAUCCAUGUUUCUUGAGUUUUUCUCAAACAACAGAAGAUUUUGCCUCCUGGACUAGCAUCCCUCUGUGGCUACAACCAGCCUGAACUGAGGGGUCUGCCCUUUAGAAGGGCCCAGCUCAUGGGCUCACUGUGCACUCAGGCCCUAGCCAGCCUGCUGUACGUGGGUGUUUGUGAUUUCAUCGUUGGCCUUGUUUUCGCAGACAGAGCAGAGCACCUGCCAUAAAGCAAGCCUCGAUGUGCUAAGUGGCAUGUGGAGCCCUUGCCCUGCUGGGGCUCAUUGCUCCCAUUUGAGCUGCCACAGA
rnacentral:sRNA from 1 species